rnacentral:rRNA from 1 species
UGGGGAAUAUUGCGCAAUGGGCGGAAGCCUGACGCAGCCACGCCGCGUGAGCGAUGAAGGUCUUAGGAUCGUAAAGCUCUGUGACGAGAUCAAGGACGGUAGCAUAGGAAUAAGUCUCGGCUAACUACGUGCCAGCAGCCGCGGUAAAACGUAGGAGGCGAGCGUUAUCCGGAGUUACUGGGCGUAAAGCGCGUGUAGGCGGUGGUGCAGGUCGGAUGUGAAAGCUCCCAGGCUAAACCGGGAGAGGUCAUUCGAAACCGCAUCACUAGCGGGUGGCAGAGGCGUGUGGAAUUCCAGGUGUAGUGGUGAAAUGCGCAGAUAUCUGGAGGAACACCAGUGGCGAAGGCGGCACGCUGGGCCACACCGGACGCUGAGACGCGAAAGCAUGGGUAGCAAACGGGAUUAGAUACCCCUGUAGUCC